rnacentral:rRNA from 1 species
GACGAACGCUGGCGGCGUGCCUAAUACAUGCAAGUCGAGCGAACACAAGAGGAGCUUGCUCCUCUUGGUUAGCGGCGGAUGGGUGAGUAACACGUGGGCAACCUGCCUGUAAGACUGGGAUAACUUCGGGAAACCGGAGCUAAUACCGGCUAAUCCUUUUCCUCUCAUGAGGAAAAGCUGAAAGUCGGUUUAAGAGGACCCUUACAGAUGGGCCCGCGGCGCAUUAGCUAGUUGGUGAGGUAACGGCUCACCAAGGCGACGAUGCGUAGCCGACCUGAGAGGGUGAUCGGCCACACUGGGACUGAGACACGGCCCAGACUCCUACGGGAGGCAGCAGUAGGGAAUCUUCCGCAAUGGACGAAAGUCUGACGGAGCAACGCCGCGUGAGCGAUGAAGGCCUUCGGGUCGUAAAGCUCUGUUGUUAGGGAAGAACAAGUAUCGGAGUAACUGCCGGUACCCUGACGGUACCUAACCAGAAAGUCACGGCUAACUACGUGCCAGCAGCCGCGGUAACAC